GAUGAACGCUGGCGGCGUGCCUAAUACAUGCAAGUCGAGCGAACGGACGAGAAGCUUGCUUCUCUGAUGUUAGCGGCGGACGGGUGAGUAACACGUGGAUAACCUACCUAUAAGACUGGGAUAACUUCGGGAAACCGGAGCUAAUACCGGAUAAUAUUUUGAACCGCAUGGUUCAAAAGUGAAAGACGGUCUUGCUGUCACUUAUAGAUGGAUCCGCGCUGCAUUAGCUAGUUGGUAAGGUAACGGCUUACCAAGGCAACGAUGCAUAGCUGACCUGAGAGGGUGAUCGGCCACACUGGAACUGAGACACGGUCCAGGCUCCUACGGGAGGCAGCAGUAGGGAAUCUUCCGCAAUGGGCGAAAGCCUGACGGAGCAACGCCGCGUGAGUGAUGAAGGUCUUCGGAUCGUAAAACUCUGUUAUUAGGGAAGAACAUAUGUGUAAGUAACUGUGCACAUCUUGACGGUACCUAAUCAGAAAGCCACGGCUAACUACGUG
rnacentral:rRNA from 1 species